UGAGGAAUAUUGGUCAAUGGGCGAGAGCCUGAACCAGCCAAGUCGCGUGAAGGAAGACUGCCCGCAAGGGUUGUAAACUUCUUUUGUAUGGGAUUAAAGUCGUCUACGUGUAGACGUUUGCAGUUACCGUACGAAUAAGCAUCGGCUAACUCCGUGCCAGCAGCCGCGGUAAUACGGAAGGUUCGGGCGUUAUCCGGAUUUAUUGGGUUUAAAGGGAGCGUAGGCCGUUUGGUAAGCGUGUUGUGAAAUGUAGGAGCUCAACUUCUAGAUUGCAGCGCGAACUGUCAGACUUGAGUGCGCACAACGUAGGCGGAAUUCAUGGUGUAGCGGUGAAAUGCUUAGAUAUCAUGAAGAACUCCGAUUGCGAAGGCAGCUUACGGGAGCGCAACUGACGCUGAAGCUCGAAGGUGCGGGUAUCGAACAGG
rnacentral:rRNA from 1 species